CGGCGAUCUCUCGGUCGGACUGGGACAGAUGUGAGAGCAGAGGCUCGCCGUAGACCUUCUGCUUGGAGAGGUUUACCGCGGGCCCUUUCCACCAGAACAGAGAACGAACUCCAGAGAGUUUUUGUGGUAUUCCGCCUGCAGCUCCAGAAGCUGUCGUUGGAAAAACAGGUUACAACCUUUCCCUGCACUCAGAUCGGGGCGUCCAGAGAGCCACUCACAUGUAUGAAGUAGUUAGCGUAGUCGUCUUCUUUGGUAGCAAAGUGAUAGAGGUCUGCAGAGUACUGGUCCUGCAGGGAAAGGGGGAAAGUUUCCUCCAGGCUUCUUCGACUUCCUCCCUGAGGCCGUCCUGCUUCGCCUGGGGGGCGGUGCUGGUCUGACUCCGGAGUCGGGCGUUGUUCCAGUCGGUG